UAAAAAAGUCUUGAGAAGAGCUUUAAAAAUGCCAAGAGUCUGGGCUUCCCUGAGUUCAGGAGGAAGAGAGUUCCAAAGUGAAGGAGCAUAGACAGAAAAGCCCCGUCACCCAUAGAUUUUAGGUGUGUUUGGAACAGUUAAUUACAUUGAACAGAUUACAUUGUGCGAUUUGGGGUGUAAGGGAUAAAAAAUAAAAAAUGUUUUCCUUUUAAAAGCUGUGUACAGUGUAGUGCAGAGAGCCAAUCAGAUUUCAGCUUUCCUGAUUCUGAAUCUCGCGGCCAGACAACACCGAGUCGUGAUGUUUUCAGCGGCUGUUUUAGCGACUGUAAGCGCUGUCCUAACCACUGAACACACUUUUGUGUCCUUUCUACUUUUCCACAGCGAUGCAGAUGCUAUAGAUACUUCACUUUAGAUCGUUUUCUGCCGUGUCCAGGCCUCCGUACCGUUCACAUAUCGCUCACCAUGGCUUUCGAGGUUCGCUCUGUCCGCUCAAUAUGAGCACUGUUUUGUAAGCAAAUAUAAUACAAAAAAAGUUACUACUUAGUAAGUUUUCAGAGACGACUACGUUUGAGUGCAAAAGUUUGCACACCCUUGGGGGAAAGAAAAAAAAAAGAGAUAAGAAUGACUAACGAAUAACCCGUAUCGACUAGAUUUCCUCUGAAAAGCUCAUUUAGUUCAAAAGUUUGUUCAUUAAUGAAAGGCCAGUGCACCGAAGCGUGUAUACACUGAAGUGAAGGUUUCAGCGUUGCUGAUUCUGAAUCUCGUAGCCAGAAAAGGAUGAAACAGUGUUUGGCAUUAAUGGGUUUUUUCCCCCUGAUUGUAUACUAUCGAUACUUGUCCUGUCCAGGCUUCCGUACCAGUCGCAUCUCGCUGAUCAUGGUUUCGAUUCUCGAGAUAUAUCUGCCAUUUCCAAGUAAAACAGGAGCACGCAGUCCUCUCCAACGUCUCAGCCCGGCGUUAUUAAUUGCACUUGAAGAAUCUAAUUUGGUAACUCGGUGACGUCUGGUGAAAUGAAAAUCUCAUUUCUGUGAGUAGCUCAACGAUGAAAUUAUUUGAGUUGAACACAGCUGUUGAUUUCUUCCUCUAGUUUGUCUGCAUCCCGUCCAGCCCUGAGUGUGGUGGUGUACCCCCUUCUCCACGAGGACUUAGGGAACGUGAUCAGGGAAAUGCCGCUCUGCCAUCUGGACGAGAUCACGCUCUUCAAGACCCGUGUGGCAGAAGAUCCCACUGUACUGUGAGACACAGAGAGAUGUCUGACAUUGCCUUGCGAUGGUGGAUGUUAACAUUUCACCGCUUAUUGUUUACACAGACACAAAGGGAGUUUUGCAGAUCAUCUAGACGUCACCUGCAAAGGACUGAAAUCAAAAUAAGUGUGUUACAGGCGUUAGUGGGAAGCACAACAGUGCCAGAAUCACAUCACACAUGAAAUAAAGUUGCUGUUGGUGCAUUCUUUGUUGUUGUUGUUGUUGUUGUUGUUGUUGUUGUUAUGUCUUAUGAAUUUUCAGACAAAAUAAAGGAACACGUUAUCAAAUAAAGCUGCGAUCCGCGGGGUCCAAGCACCACCACAAACAUUGCCCUGGUGGCCAUUUUUGUUUAGCGAUCAUUAGGAAUGAAAAAAGAUACGUUAAGAUAAUACUUUAUUAAUCCCCAGAUGGAGAAAUUAGGGGAAUGGAGAAUACAGUUCAGAGAUUAGCACAACGAUGCAGGACGUCAAUUAACUGUUGACACGUUUCUAACGUGCUAAACCCGAAUCUGUUAAUAAAGGAGAUCCUGGAUCUGAGCAUGAAUUCUCCUGAAGGGCGUCUAACUGUGAAUGCAUAAAGAAACAGGAAUGAGGAGAAAAAAUAAAGCAUGUAGAAGAAGAAAUGAUAGAUUGGGUCAUGUGCUUGGUUAGUAUAAAGGAACUAAAACCACAAGUUCAGCAAGUUUUGCAGUGAUGAGAUUCCAAAUGAUGUCCAAACGAACUUCUGAUCACAUCUUCUUUUCACUUCUAGGAACUCGUUUGAGGAAUCAUCCCGAACCACAAAGUGAUUUCUUCUUAUUUCAGCUCCCUCUGAUUUUGGAAGUUCUCAGUAAUGUUGCGUUCAGGAGGCGCGCUGUUUGCUUUUUUCUGAAAGAAAACUCGACAGAAACGUGAACCCGAGGUGUGUAUCGGGACGCGACAAAACGUCUGCGGGACGAAGAAACGAUUUUCAAGAAGAUUGUGAUUUUAAAGUGGAAACAGUGCACAAAGAUUUAUAAAUCUGAUAUUUAAAGAAAUUAAUGGUGCACGCGCACUUUCGCUCUAGAAUCCAUGCGAAGUUUUGUAAAUGAGGCCCCAGACCACUAGGUGGCGCACCUCUGGUCAGUCCAAGGGACGUGUAGCUAACCAAGGUACAGUACCUGGGCUACAGGAUUGGUUCCGGACCUCCAGGAAAGGCUUUCCUGAAUCCCAGAGAGCCAGGUCUGUGUUUUUACUGGGUUUGCAGGAUACCACCGGAGAUGAAAAUAAGAUGAUGCCAACGCGUAAUUUUUCCAGAACACGGCACAUGGAGGUACGUCGAAGGGUGUCGGCUGUCUUGUCACGACACGUGGUGCAUGAAGGGAACAGAAACGUGUAUAAGUUGUCAGUACUGGAUGUACAUGUAUAUAUUAUUUACUGUACUUAAUAUUAAGUUGAAUAUACACAGUACACUGUGUGUGUAAAGGUUCUAUAAGCAGCUCUUGUUAAGACGGAAUAUUAACAGAAAGCGGAUAAACGCUUUUGCCUUUGCAUCACGGAGUCUUGCUGCUUGCUCAACAUAAAGGAACUGGAAAGUUGUGCAGUCCUGCAAUGAUGCCAAUUACAGAAGUGAAGCUAAAAGUUCCACAAGCUACUUCUAAUAACUUCUACACAUCUUCUGGGAACUGUUUUUGUACAUUUUAUUUGCAGCCGUGGAUCUUCUGAGUAAUCCUCCUGAACCCCAACAUCCAGUAACAGAGCUGUAUACACUGACGCUGUUUCUAAUCACUGCAUGAGGCGCGCAGUAGGUUCUCCUGGAGUUCCAGACAUGUUUGGAGCUGUGUGUAAUCGUUUCAUGUGGCGUCGUGUGUUCUUUAUAUCGUGUGUGUUCUUUCCUUAUCUGUAGCUUCCUGUUUGUAGGAGGACGGACACAGUAACGUAGCUCUGCUGAUCACGCCUGCCUCGUGUUGUCUGUAUAAAGUCUCUGACUCUGAGACUCUUCUGCACUCGUCGUUCAGUGAACAUUGUGUUCUGCUACGUCUGCGUCCAUCAUGAAGCUCCUCAGUGUGGUUCUCCUUCUGCUUCCACUCUCGCUCUGUUUGGCUAGAGUCGUGGAUGAUUUUACUGAGAGCUGUCCACAGUUCUUCGCUAAUCCGUAUCAUGUCGUUUCUCCUCCCACGGGUUUUACUGGGACUCAGUAUAAACAGAUCUGUCAAACUCGAAAUGAUCAAGCUGAAUUCGCGACACUUUAUGACACGACGUACAGGAUCCCAGUUUACUCAGCAUACAGGUUUACCAGACUAAUGAAGUGUAAAAGAAGGAUGGGAAACUGGUAUAUUGAAGCUCAGCUGGAAAAUGGAACCUUGGGGCCAAACAUGGCUACUGAGUCUGCUGUGAGAAAUAUAGUUAAUCAGGCUGAGAACGGAGAUUAUAAAUAUUCUGGCUAUGAUAGAGGACACCUGGCUCCAGUUUUCCAUGCCACCUCACAGAACUGUGCUGAUGCCACCUUCACGCUGACCAACGCUGCUCCACAGGCGGCAAUGUUCAACCGCAAUACAUGGAUGAGGACAGAAAAAAGCAUGAAUGACAUACUGACCAAAUCUUGCCUUAAUGUAGGCCUGCGUGCAUUUGUAGUAACUGGGGUUGUGCCGGGUACUGGUACAUUGAAAAAUGAAGGUAGAGUGCGAAUUCCCAGUCACUUCUGGAUGGCAUUCUGCUGCCUCGAUAGCAAUAAUAUACCCAAACACUCAGGUGCAUAUAUUGGAGAAAAUAUAAAUAAUGCUAAAGUGGACAAUCUGGAAAGGCAGGUACUUGAGAAUCGAUUAUACAAUCUGUAUGGGAGAACUGUCACUUUGUUUGGUGGUCGAUGUUAGAUGCAGAAUAUGGAGAAAAGCGUGAACUAUCUGUGUUAACACGGCUGUAUCGGGGACAUUUCUGUAGCAUCAUACCUCCUUUUAAUUUCACUUUGUUUCCUCGACGACGCGACAAUUUCAAACAGAAAAUAAAACAAUAGAAAAGCAAACAGCUGGAAAGGGGAAACACGCCGCACGAAAGCGUCAAAAGCAGGAACGAUGUUGAACUAGUGGAAAGUCCGAGUGUUGAAUGGUUUCAGCGUCUGUCCUGUAUGUUUCCCAUUCAGUGGAACAACUUCUACACACAUACACUUAAAAAAAUGAAAACUAAUCAGAAAUCACUCAUGUGUUGAUUGACAUGUUGUUGUACUUUUAAUCAGUUUAUUUCUGUCACUAAAUUGGGAUCAGAUCAUUUAUCAUGAAUCACUGAAUUGCAGUUUGAUUUUCUGCAGAAUUCUACAUUAAUAAAGAGCAUCCAAUUAAA